ACCGGUAUCAGACGAAGCGAGUGUAUAUUCACGACUCACGUUUCGUGGAAUUUUAUAGCAAAUGGGAUCUGUCACACUGAACGUUGGUGAGCCCGUCUCGGGUGCCGCCAUAUUCCGGGGACUCGGAACUUCGGAGGUUUCCUGGGUAUGAGAGUUUCGGGUCUCGUUCUUUCUGCCAACGGAACGGCUGGUGAUAAGAAGUGCGCGACGCGACUAGUGACUUUAACCUUUUGCCUUUGCCUUUUACCUUAAUAGUGUUUCGUAAGUGAAUUCUUGGAUUUUUGCGUCCGCUUUCUUAAAUACAGUUCACUUUAACAUACAAUAAGCGUCCAAUAAGACGCUUUUUGUAUGGGCUGGAAAUUUUUGCUGCAAUUGCGAAAGCCCACGCCGGGUUUCGUACGCCGUCCUGAGGGACGUUCCUCUACGUUUUGGAUCAGCCUCUCGGCGCGUCUUCGCCGCCAUUUUGGUGACUCUACAUUCCGUGACCGUGUGACGCUCCGGCCCGCCAUCUUGGCAGUCAAACGGAGUCGUGGAAGUCCGUCAAUUCCCGUUGGCAGAAAACACACACCGGUCGCCAAUUGCCGGUCGUGAAAAGGGUCCACCACGUUACAACCCCCGGACCCUUCCGAGAGCCGUACGUAGUCAAAUUGUCGUACACCCCGG
rnacentral:lncRNA from 1 species